CCGACUCCGCUUCUCACGUCACGUGAACGCGCUCGUAACCGCAGAAGAAAGAAGCCCACGGGUCGACAGACGGUCGACAGACGGUCGACGUCCCGCGUCGUGAGUUCAGGUGGUCGGGAUGAUCGAAGGAAACACAUGCACUCGGGGAGAUCGACUCGACAACAACGCUACCGCGCGGAACGUUUGACGUCACCGCGUGACGCCCGGCACGCAGCGGGCAGGUGACGUCAGCCGGAGUCCGUUUAGGGUUCGACUGCUUUGAAAUCAAGCGUCGACGGGCGAACGGGUCACGAUCGAACCGUGGGUGGAGAACGUGACGGGUGUCAGUGGACGUGGUCGGUCCGGACACCGCGACGGGACGCUGACAGACGUUAUGCGGCCAUUUGACCACCGCGCUCACGGUAGACACACCGACACACUCCCGUCAGGUUCCCGUCUCACACCGCCCCACAGUCCAGUCACAGACGUGUGUUACCAUCCGACAGACGAGUCGACCGACAGCACAGCGGGUCUGUAGCAGACUAGCAGUCGGCGGUGGACCGUCCGAGGCGCGGACCUGGACCUGGACCUGGACCGCCCUACCUUGACUUUGACGCGGACCACCCCCCUCUCCUCCUCGCUCGCCAUCGUCAGGACCCCGCGUUAGUUAACGAGAUGCUCGCCCUGAGCGUUGUUUCCCUCCUACGCCGACAUGGUGACGGACGGUUCGGUGGUCGAGCUCCUCUGGUUCGUGAUCUUCUUCUUGCGCUCGGUUUGACACAGGGAGUGCGCUGCUUCAUUACCGCCAUCUGCUGGACAGACCGUGAUCGUGUCCUCAAUGCACCCAUACUGGACAAUAAUACAGUACACGUCCAAUGUCAAUAUGUUUUUUAUUUAAAAGCUCAUUUCAGAAUUCCAACAUUUUAAUGGUAUAAUACAUUUUGUACAUGUACCCAGUUACUUUCCACCACUGUACAUAUAUCACAAAUACUGGUCGUGUGCUGGAUCACUGCUGAACAUUUUCCAAGUUUUUCAAAAUUAUUUUUUAAACUUCUAAGACAACCUUUGGAGCCAGCCAGUUUCAUUGAACAUAUCUAUUGUCCUAUGAUCUUCAUGACAUCACAUAUCAUAUGAUGGGGAAUCAUUUUCUGAUCAAUAAAUAUAAGCCUUAGUC